GACGUAGGGCGCGAGCGUUUGUCCGGAUUUAUUGGGCGUAAAGAGCUCGUAGGCGGCUUGUCGCGUCGACUGUGAAAUCCCGCGGCUCAACUGCGGGUCUGCAGUCGAUACGGGCAGGCUAGAGUUCGGUAGGGGAGACGUGGAAUUCCUGGUGUAGCGGUGAAAUGCGCAGAUAUCAGGAGGAACACCGGUGGCGAAGGCGGAUCUCUGGGCCUUACCUGACGCUCGAGGCACGAAAGCUAGGGGAGCGAACAGG
rnacentral:rRNA from 1 species